rnacentral:rRNA from 1 species
UACAGAGGUCCCGAGCGUUGUUCGGAUUCACUGGGCGUAAAGGGUGCGUAGGUGGUGAGGUAAGUCGGAUGUGAAAGCUCCAAGCUCAACUUGGAAAUGGCAUUGGAAACUACCUUGCUAGAGGGUUUGAGGGGGGACUGGAAUACUUGGUGUAGCAGUGAAAUGCGUAGAUAUCAAGAGGAACACCAGUGGCGAAGGCGAGUCCCUGGACAACACCUGACACUGAGGCACGAAAGCUAGGGGAGCAAACAGG